UAUUAAAUGCAAGAAUAGGAAGUUUUGGAAGAAUGUAACUGGCUUUUUGAUGUUUACCUACCUCCAGAGACACUUCUGUAUGUCCUGAAUUUUGGCUUGGAAAUAUUGGUAAGAAAUUGAGCCUGUGCAUAGAACCAUGUCUGGAAUUACGUUGCAGAGGGUGGCAUCCACAUAGAAUACAAUGUUCUGACAUGCUAAACUGGGUCAUGACUCCAUUUUCCAUAUGGAUACUGUCAAAGGAAAAAAGUAGUUUAAGUGAAUCGAAUUGAGAUUAAAGUAUUUAUCCAGCUCGUGCACAUCAGGAAUGACUUGAAAAUCAGGUGAAGAUCUUGGGGCUUAGAAAGGUUACAUAGAUGGCAUGCUGUUACACCUAGAUGGAGUCUCGCUCUGUCGCCUAGAUUGGAUGGCAGUGGUGUGAUCUUGGCUCACUGCAACCUCUGCCUCCCGGGUUCAAGCAAUUCUCCUGCCUCAGCCUCCUGAAUAGCUGGGAUUACAGGCACACACCACCACGCCCAGAUAAUUUUUUUGUAUUUUUAGGAGAGACCAGGUUUCACCAUGUUGGUCAGGCUGGUCUUGAACUCCUGACCUUGUAAUCUGCCCAUCUUGGCCUCCCAAAGUGCUGGGAUUACAGGUGUGAGCCACCACACCCGGAAAUCUCCAUCUUUUAAUUGGUGUACUUAGACCAUUUACACUUAAUGGAAGGAUAGAUAUAUUAGGCCUUAAAUCUGCAUUUUAUUUUUUUCUUCUGUUUUAUUUUUCAUUUUUCUGUUUUGUUUUUGAUGGCUUUCUGUAAGUUAAUUAAAUUGAACAUUUUUUAGAAUUUUAUUUUGAUUUAUCUAUAAUGUCUUAGGUAUGAUAUUGUAUAUACAUAUUUUAUCACAGCCUAUUGGUAUCAACAUUUUACCAACUCAAGUGAAAUAUGAAAAUCUUACUUUUCUUUACCCUCUCCCACUCAUAAUUGUCUAACAUAUUUCCUCUACAUACAUUGUGAAUCACAUUAAACAGCAUUAUAAUUAUUGCUUCAACUAUUAAACAAAAUUUAGAAACCUUAACAGAAAAGGAAAUGUAUUUUUACUUUUUCUGUUUUUUUUUUUCUUCAUGAUGUUCUAAUAUCUAUUUUUCUUCUGUUUGGAGAACUUCCUUUAACCAUUCUUCUAGAAUAUGUUUGCUAGUGACAAAUUGUCUUAGCUUUGCUUCAAUGAAAAUGUCUUGAUUUCCUCUUAAUUUGUAAGGGUGUUCUAACUGGAUAUAGAUUUUUGGAUUAAUAGUUAUUUUUUCCAGCACUUAAAAAAUUCUAUGCUACUUUCUUCUGGCCUCCAUGGUUUGUGAUGACAAAUCUGUUAUCAUCCUAAUUAUCUUUCCUCCUAAAGAAAAGAUCUCACUCUUCUCUCCCUGCUUUCAAAAUAUUUACUUUGUUGUUAUUGUUCAGAAGUUUGACUAUGAUGGUGGCUUUGGUGUGAUUUCUUUGAGUUUACCCUGUUAGUUUUUCACUCUGCUUCUUGAAUUUGUUGGUUUAUGGCUUUUGCCAAAUUUGAGAAUUAUUAGCCAUUAUUUCUUUGAAUAUAUUUUCAGCUCUUUUUUCUUUCUCUCUCCUUCUUGGACUUUGAUGACAGUACUAUUAGACCUUUUGUUGUAGUCUCACAGGUCCCUGAGGUGGUAUUCUUCUUGUCAUUUUGUUUUUGUUUUUGAGAUGGAGUCUCGCUCUGUCACCCAGGCUGGAGUGCAGUGGCGCAAUCUUGGCUCACUGUAACCUCCGCCUCCCAGGUUCAAGCGAUUCUCCUGCCUCAGCCUCCUGAGUAGCUGGGACUACAUGUGCUUGCCAGCAUGCCUGGCUAAUUUUUUGUAUUUUUAGUAGAGACGAGGUUUCACCGUGUCAGCCAGGAUGGUCUCAAUCUCCGAAUCUCGUAGUCCGCCUGCCUCAGCCUCUCAAAGUGCUGGGAUUACAGAUGUGAGCCACCGCACCCGGCCUUUCUUGUCGUUUUUUUAUUUUGUCUCUGAUCUUCAGAUUUGGUAAUUUCUAUUGCUUCACUCUUAAGUUCCCUGAUGAGUCUUUCUUCUGUCCUUUGUAUUCUAUUGUUGAGGCCAUCCAUUGAAUUUAUUUUUAAAGUCUUCUUUAUUAUAUUCUUCCAUUUUAAAGUUUUUAUUUGUGUUUUUAAAUACCUUCUAUUUUUCUUUAUUUUGAUUGCUGAAACUUUCUAUUUCUUCGUCAACAUUUUCUCUUUUAAAAAAUUUGUUUCAGUAAUGUUUGUAUUGCUCAUUGAAAUGUUUUAUUAUGGUUGCUUUAAAAUCCCUCUUAGAUAAUUCUAAUAUCUAUGCCACCUUGAUGUUGCAUCUAUUGAUUGUCCUUUCUCAUUCAUGUUGAAAUUGUCUUGUUUCUUGGUAUACGGAGUGAUUUUUCUAUUGAAAUCUAGACAAUUAAGUUAUUAUAAGACUCAGUGUCUUUUUUCAAUGUUCUGUUUCAGCAGGUUUCCUCUGAUAUCAUUCUGGCAAGAGAAAGGUAGACAUCGCCUUUCACUGCCAGGUGGGAUGGAAAUCCAAAUUUCUCACUCAGCCUUCAUUUGCAGGAGGGCCUCUUGGUUACUGCUGGAUGGAGGUGGAACUUCUGGCAUCCCAGUUAACCUCUGCUGAUACCAGCCUGGCUAGGAGGGUCAGGGAUGCCUUGUUACUACUUCUCAAGGGUCUUCCACUGACACCAUGAGGUAGUAUGGUCUUUAUUACUGCUGAGUAUAGUGAAAGUUCUGACUCUCUAUUAGCUCUCCUUUGACACCACUCUGGUAGUGGGACAGGGUGUUUCUACUGCAAUGUAAGAAUGGAAGUCCAGUUUUCUCAUUUAACAUCCUUGCAUGUGUGGGCUUGUUCUUUCCCUGUGGAUGUAAAAGUCCUGGAUAUCUACUGAAUCUUCUCUGACACCACUCUGGCGGGGAGGUUGGAGUAUCUCAUUGUGCCUAGAGAGGGUAAAAGCUACAUUUACACUCAGUCUUGGUUGUUUGGAGUUGGGAGUAGGGCCCCUGUUUUUUUUUUUUGUGAUGUUUGGUUGGAGAAGAGCAGUUACUAAAAGUUUCUGUCUUGCUAGACAUCUCCUCUCCUAGACCUUUGGAUCAAGGCAUCCAGCUUCUCCUGGGGCACUUUUUCUUUGUACCAGUUUGUUUUCCAGGUGGCCAUCUUCUCCAGUGCCCAGUCUGGAAUAUGUGAGAUGACAAGAAAACUUUAAAAACUUAUUGUUGUAUUCUUGCUUAGAUUCUAAAACAUUUAGCUAGUUGAUCCUUUUUUCUCCAUCUUGCAGAGUCUUCUUAUGUUUGUUUUAUAUAUAAUGUCCAGGAUUCUUACUUGUAUUUACCAGGAAGAAUAGAGGAAAAAUACUUCAACUCUAUCUUUCUUGACGCAAGAGUCUCUUAAAAUUUAUUUUUUAGUUCUUCAAACUUGAUUUCUUAAAUGAUAUCAUGACUUUCAGUUGUUACAUCAUAAUAAUAGGUGUAAAGUUUAUAGAAAAUACCUUUGGAAAAUUCUAUUAACAUCUGUCACAUACUAUAACAAGCGUAUAUUUUUAAAGAGUCACAAAAAACUAGAGAAGAAAAUGUUACUAACUUUUCAGUAAUACAAAUACAAAGUAUAUUACAAAUGCUUUUCUGGGAUAUAUUUGUAUAUCAUGAAGGAAGGACAUUAUGUUAACUUAGUUCUCAGUAAGAUUGGAAAAUCCUAUAAAUAAAAAUACAUUUAAAUGUAAAUGAAGGUCAGCUUAUACACUUAAUGAGUAUUAUUGAUGAAAGUACACAAUGAUAAUGGUAAAAGACAACCCAAAAUUUCCUUUUAGAUUAAUGACUCUUACAGUAUGCCAAAUUAGUGAUAAAUAAUAAGACAAGGUUUUAAAAAAUUAAUUUCAAAACAUUUAAAAGUUAUAUUUUAUGUUGCUAUAAUAAUGGAGGUUAAUACUGUUAGGGUGUUGCCAAUUCUACUAUAACAGUGAAGUUACCAGAAUAAUAUUAUGGAACAUUGGGUAAGAUCAGCAGAAAUUUGUUGUUGUCAUUGGUGUCACUGUUGUUGUAAAAAGUCCCCUAAAUAUUUUAUUUUCUGAAUUUUUAGCUGCAAGUCCAUAUUGGUAAUGCAAGAUUACUUUUUCUAGCAAGUAAAUAAAGAUAAAUAGCAUUUAGUAUAUAGUAUUGACAAUGA
rnacentral:lncRNA from 1 species